GGUAGGGUAUUGGCCUACCGUGGCUAUGACGGGUAACGGGGAAUUAGGGUUCGAUUCCGGAGAGGGAGCCUGAGAAACGGCUACCACAUCUAAGGAAGGCAGCAGGCGCGCAAAUUACCCAAUCCUAAUACAGGGAGGUAGUGACAAGAAAUAACAAUACAGAACCUCACGGUUUUGUAAUUGGAAUGAGUUAAGUAUAAACCCCUUAACGAGUAUCAAUUGGAGGGCAAGUCUGGUGCCAGCAGCCGCGGUAAUUCCAGCUCCAAUAGCGUAUAUUAAAGUUGUUGCAGUUAAAAAGCUCGUAGUUGAUUUUCUGUUAAUUUUUAUGUAUAAUAUUGCGAUAUUUACAUAAUAUUAACAUAAUUCACAUUACUUUACAGUAUGUGGAAYUUUACUUUGAGAAAAUUAGAGUGCUUAAAGCAGGCUAUUGCCUUGAAUACUCCAGCAUGGAAUAAUAUUAAGGAUUUUUAUUCUUCUUAUUGGUUCUAGAAUAAAAAUAAUGAU
rnacentral:rRNA from 1 species